rnacentral:rRNA from 1 species
AUUGAACGCUGGCGGCAUGCUUUACACAUGCAAGUCGAACGGUAACAGGUUAAGCUGACGAGUGGCGAACGGGUGAGUAAUGCAUCGGAACGUGCCCGGUCGUGGGGGAUAACACUUCGAAAGAAGUGCUAAUACCGCAUACGAUCUGAGGAUGAAAGCGGGGGACCGUAAGGCCUCGCGCGAUCGGAGCGGCCGAUGUCAGAUUAGGUAGUGGGUGGGGUAAAGGCCCACCAAGCCGACGAUCUGUAGCUGGUCUGAGAGGACGACCAGCCACACUGGGACUGAGACACGGCCCAGACUCCUACGGGAGGCAGCAAUGGGGAAUUUUGGACAAUGGGCGCAAGCCUGAUCCAGCAAUGCCGCGUGCAGGAAGAAGGCCUUCGGGUUGUAAACUGCUUUUGUACGGAGCGAAAAGGCUCUCUCUAAUACAGGGGGCUGAUGACGGUACCGUAAGAAUAAGCACCGGCUAACUACGUGCCAGCAGCCGCCGUAA